rnacentral:rRNA from 1 species
AUUGAACGCUGGCGGCAGGCCUAACACAUGCAAGUCGAGCGGAUGAAGGGAGCUUGCUCCUGGAUUCAGCGGCGGACGGGUGAGUAAUGCCUAGGAAUCUGCCUGGUAGUGGGGGAUAACGUCCGGAAACGGGCGCUAAUACCGCAUACGUCCUGAGGGAGAAAGUGGGGGAUCUUCGGACCUCACGCUAUCAGAUGAGCCUAGGUCGGAUUAGCUAGUUGGUGGGGUAAAGGCCUACCAAGGCGACGAUCCGUAACUGGUCUGAGAGGAUGAUCAGUCACACUGGAACUGAGAAACGGUCCAGACUCCUGCGGGAGGCAGCAGUGGGGAAUAUUGGACGAUGGGCGAAAGCCUGAUCCAGCCAUGCCGCGUGUGUGAAGAAGGUCUUCGGAUUGUAAAGCACUUUAAGUUGGGAGGAAGGGCAGUAAGUUAAUACCUUGCUGUUUUGACGUUACCAACAGAAUAAGCACCGGCUAACUUCGUG